rnacentral:rRNA from 1 species
AACGAACGCUGGCGGCAUGCCUAACACAUGCAAGUCGAACGAGACCUUCGGGUCUAGUGGCGCACGGGUGCGUAACGCGUGGGAACCUGCCCUUAGGUUCGGAAUAACUCCCCGAAAGGGGUGCUAAUACCGGAUAAUGUCUUCGGACCAAAGAUUUAUCGCCUUUGGAUGGGCCCGCGUUGGAUUAGCUAGUUGGUAGGGUAAAAGCCUACCAAGGCGACGAUCCAUAGCUGGUCUGAGAGGAUGAUCAGCCACACUGGGACUGAGACACGGCCCAGACCCCUAGGGGGGGCAGCAGGGGGGAAUUUGGGACAAGGGGCGAAAGCCUGACCCAGCAAGGCCGGGGGGGUGAUGAAGGCCUUAGGGUUGAAAAGCUCUUUUACCCGGGAUGAUAAUGACAGAACCGGGAGAAUAAGCCCCGGCUACCUCCGG